AUUGAACGCUGGCGGCAGGCUUAACACAUGCAAGUCGAGCGGAGAGAGGUAGCUUGCUACUGAUCUUAGCGGCGGACGGGUGAGUAAUGCUUAGGAAUCUGCCUAUUAGUGGGGGACAACAUUUCGAAAGGAAUGCUAAUACCGCAUACGUCCUACGGGAGAAAGCAGGGGAUCUUCGGACCUUGCGCUAAUAGAUGAGCCUAAGUCGGAUUAGCUAGUUGGUGGGGUAAAGGCCUACCAAGGCGACGGUCUGUAGCGGGUCUGAGAGGAUGAGCCGCCACACUGGGACUGAAGAACGGCCCAGGUUCCUACGGGAGGCAGCAGUGGGGAAUAUUGGACAAUGGGCGCAAGCCUGAUCCAGCCAUGCCGCGUGUGUGAAGAAGGCCUUAUGGUUGUAAAGCACUUUAAGCGAGGAGGAGGCUACUUUAGAUAAUACCUAGAGAUAGUGGACGUUACUCGCAGAAUAAGCACCGGCUAACUCUGUGCCAGCCGCCGCAGUAACAC
rnacentral:rRNA from 1 species